rnacentral:tRNA from 1 species
GGAACUAACCACUACGGUAGAGCGCUUGCAUGGCAUGCAAGAGGUCAGCGGUUCGAUCCCGCUAGUCUCCACCA